rnacentral:rRNA from 1 species
GACGUAGGGCGCGAGCGUUGUCCGGAUUUAUUGGGCGUAAAGAGCUCGUAGGCGGCUUGUCGCGUCGACCGUGAAAACUUGGGGCUCAACUCCAAGCUUGCAGUCGAUACGGGCAGGCUAGAGUUCGGUAGGGGAGACUGGAAUUCCUGGUGUAGCGGUGAAAUGCGCAGAUAUCAGGAAGAACACCCGUGGCGAAAGCGGCUCUCUGGAACGGUACUGACGCUGAGACGCGAAAGCGUGGGGAGCGAACAGG